CAUACAUAGAUGAUAUUACAAGUGAUUUUAUUAUAUAUUAAUGUAGUUCUCACGGAGAAGAUACUCCGAGUCCAGCCAAAUGUGAAGAAGCUUUACUUGCUAAUCAGAGCUCCAGAUUCAAAUUCAGCUAAAUAGCGUUUCAACAGUGAGGUUAUAAAAACAGAUCUGUUCAGAGUUCUAAGGGAGAAGUUGGGCCCCAACCUACAUGGCCUUAUACAAGACAAGGUUUUCCCAGUUGCAGGUGAUAUAGCUUGUGAUAGUUUGGGGAUAAAUUUUGAGCUGAAAGAUGACAUGUGCAGAGAAAUAGACAUAAUUGUAAACUCUGCUGCAACAACUCGAUUUGAUGAAAGGUAGUUAGUCAUAGAGUAAUACAAACAUUCUUUUUCCUUAAGUAAAAAGAAAAAAGUUUAAUUUACUCAUUAGCGCGACUUUUUUGCAGAUAUGAUACUGUAAUAAGGAAUGCACUGGGUGCCAUGAAUAUUAUCAAAUUUUCCAAGCAGUGUUUAAAACUAAAGAUGCUUCUCCAUGUAAGCACAGGUCAGCUCCAUCACGAGCUUAACCAAAUUUCACUAUCAUGUGACUUCUUUGGGCCUACUGACUUUAGCAUAAUAAGGACGUGUUCAUUUCAGCUUAUGUUUGCGGGGAAAAGAAAGGAUUAAUACUAGAGAAGCCAUUGAACUAUGGUGAGAGGCUUAAUGGAAGCUCUCGCUUAGAAAUAGAAGUGGAGCAAAAGUUGGUAGAGGAGGCUAAAGGACCUUCAAGAUAGGAAAGCCACUGAAAAAGAAGUUACUUUAGCUAUGAGAGUUCUAAGUAUUGACAGGGCCAGGCUACAUGGAUGGCCAAACACAUACUCAUUCACAAAAGCAAUGGGAGAGAUGCUUUUGGGACACCUCAAGGAGGAUCUCCAACUCAUAAUCCUAUGACCAACAAUUAUAUUAAGC